GCUCCAGACAAACACGGGCUCACUCCACUGAUCUCUGCCUGUUUCGAGGGUCACCUCUCCUGCGUCAAGGUCCUGCUAGAAAAGCCGCACACCCCGGCCCUCGCAUCAACAAGCCAGCAGUGUCUUGCAACCAUUCGGCCAGCAGCUGGCCAGCAGCUGGCGUCAUUGCUGUUGGCUCACAGAUAAACCGAAAGAAGCGGCCAAGGCCAACAGGAAGAAAAUAGCAGUUUACUACUCAUCACGUAGCCACAACCUCAGUACAUCCCCCUGGAAGCCAGAAGCUCUUAUUGACCAGAAGACAUCUGAAAUAGUCCGCUAUGCAAGUACCACUACUACAUUAGAAGUGAAAGGCCCUUGGGUGGACAUUUUUAUUUUGCUUUUAAAAGCCAUUGUCUAGUAUCAUGAGACAAAACAGGCAGCAUAUAGCUCAUCUGAACAGGGAUUAUGGUGCAAAGCGAAGAUAUGAGCGAACCCACGGGUUUGCUCCUCUCAUGGCUCUGUACUCAUCUCCACUAAGCACCAACGAGGAUUAACACCCAGACGCAGCCAAAAGGUCAUCAGUCACAACAGAGACUAGAUCUCAAUACAUCUACCCCUGGCAGCUCUGAAAACUCAGCAUGUGUCUUAACAUGAGAUUAAUACGUUGUCCCACAGCCACACCAUUGACUGUGCUGCUGCAUAUCCACUCUGUCUGACAGCACCUGCUGCACCACAGCCACUAACAUUGCAGUAGAAAAAGAAGCCCACUGAGAAUACUGAAUAGUGACUAUUAGACUGUCAGACAUUCUUGUGUUAUCACACAGAAUGGCUUGCUUCCCUAGUGCAUCAUGGGAGCUGACCCCUGACUGAGUGCUGUGUUGUUGUUGGCAAUGAAUUAUAAAAGGCCAUUUUAACCCCAAUAGGUGACCAAGCCCUGAAGAACGUGGCCGAGAGUGCUGACUAUAGCCUGGCAAGUUAAUUUUAAGUCAACAAUGAAAGGGCACGCACAGGCAUACGCACACGAAUACUCACGGAUCCUUUUCUUCUAUGAGGAACUGCGUACAUGACCACUGGCUAGGAAGAAGUGUUACAAUAUUAUUUUGUCAUGUCAUUUCCUGCUGGUUUCCGAAUUUUUUUCAGUGAUUAAUAAUUGCGCAGACACAAAAGAAAAGGUGGACAUUUCUGACAGUUCAGCAGAUGUGGAAGAGUACAACAAAGCCACUUGAAAGCACGUAUCACAUUUUACUAUCGUGAAUGUCUGCAUUUCUUACCCAAUUGUUUUUAUGCUUUUGGGCUUUUGAACAGAAGUAAAUAUCUCUCAAUACUGAUUGGUGACAGUAGUUUAGAUCCUAUGUUAUUAACAUCUGCAUAACAUGCUUUUAAUACAGAGUACAGAGUCUUUAAUAACACAAUCACAUCUGAAAAUAUUUUCGGCAAAUUUAUGACUUUAUAAUCCUAGAAUAUUCAAGUUUUUCACAUAUUGAUAAAUUUACGACAUUAAUCUCAGUCUGUUUUUUUUUUCUCUGUAUAUUACCCCCUCCCCCAGCCCCGUAAAUCAUUUAACCUACAUGAUACUCCUCAUAUGCUGUCAUAGAUACACACUGGUAAACACAAAAACUAGUGGGAUAAAAAAUUAAAUAAAUGUUGUUUUUUUUGCCUAGGUCUCUUCCGUACAGUGUCUAUUCAGGAUAUUCUACCCUACCUGGAAAAGGGUUACUAAUGAUGAGUUAAAUAAGAUUUCAGACCUAGACAGUAUAAAAGACAUUUUGUGCUCCUUUUCACACAAAAGCCAUAUCCACAUUUUAUUUCGUUUGCACAGGGAUUAAAAAAACCUACUUUUAUGAAUUGAAUACUGUAAUUGUUCCACCUCCAAAUAUGGUGGUAUACACAAGGCAUAUAAUUGUGUUUGACAGAUAAGAUACCUGGUUUGGUUCCCAGCAUUGUUGGUGAAAGGGCUAGGGUCAAGGUGUAAUGUUGUUUCUUGCCAUCUAAAUUAGACCUGUAGAGUCAGUUACUAGGUAUGGUCUUGAACCAGCUGAUAAUGACUUCCCCAGAGCUGGAGAAGCAAGCAAGUGAGGGGGGGGGGCUUCUUCCUAUCCUCCCCUUCAAACCCUGAACUCACUAGAGUGGAAAGUAGUAAGUAUGGUUGGUAACCGGGUACCUGAUAUGAAUAACACAGCCGCUAUUGGAAAAGUUAAGUGGAACUACAAAUACUUUACAUGAGAGUGGUAUCGUGUAACUCUUGUCAAGAAAGCUAAUAAACCGAUUUCUCACAAUGUUAGACAUUUCAUUUUAAAGUAAGUACACACUGGUAAACACAAAAACUAGUGGAAUAAAAAAUUAAAUAAAUGUUGUUGUUUUUUUUGCCUAGGUCUCUUCCGUACAGUGUCUAUUCAGGAUAUUCUACCCUA